CCUACGGGCGGCAGCAGUGAGGAAUAUUGGUCAAUGGGCGCGAGCCUGAACCAGCCAAGUAGCGUGAAGGAUGACUGCCCUACGGGUUGUAAACUUCUUUUAUAAAGGAAUAAAGUGAGGCACGUGUGCCUUUUUGUAUGUACUUUAUGAAUAAGGAUAGGCUAACGCCGGGCCAGCAGCCGCGGUAAUACGGAGGAUCCGAGCGUUCUCCGGAUUUAUUUGGUUUAAAGGGAGCGUAGAAGGGUUGUUAAGUCCGUUGUGAAAGUUUGCGUCUCAUCCGUAAAAUUGCAAUGUCUACUGGCAGUCUUGUGUACAGUUGAGGUAGGCGGCCUUCGUGGUGUAGCG
rnacentral:rRNA from 1 species